rnacentral:lncRNA from 1 species
UAAGAAGGCACGAGAGUGGUUCAAGAAUUAUGUGAACCCCAGAGUAGACAGCAUGUCUUGGGAGGAGUUUGCAAACGAGUUUGCAGGAUGGGCGUUCCCAGAUAGUUCAAGGGAGCUGAAGAUGAUAGAGUUUGAGCAGUUGAGGCAGACCGAGGAUAUAGGUGUAGAGGAGUUCACAGACAGAUUCUUGGAGCUGUUGCCAUUUGCAGGGCAAAACCUUGACACGG